CCCCUCUCAAGAUCGCACCUGGAGAGUUUCCAGUACGCUACCAGUCUCGGCUAUGGGAGGGAGAGUCAAGCAGAGGCAUACCCACUCCAUUCCUAGCUUAGGCAGUGGCUAGCGAGUGGAAGGCAAUCUGCUACAAAU
rnacentral:snoRNA from 1 species